UACAGAGGGGGCAAGCGUUAUUCGGAAUUAUUGGGCGUAAAGGGCGCGUAGGCGGCUUUGCAAGUGACGGGUGAAAUCCCUCGGCUUAACCGAGGAACUGCCUGUCAGACUGCAUUGCUUGAGUCCGGGAGAGGUGAGUGGAAUUUCCAGUGUAGCGGUGAAAUGCGUAGAUAUUGGGAGGAACACCAGUGGCGAAGGCGGCUCACUGGACCGGAACUGACGCUGAGGGACGAAAGCUAGGGGAGCGAAUGGG
rnacentral:rRNA from 1 species